UUAAAUUGAAGAGUUUGAUCAUGGCUCAGAUUGAACGCUGGCGGCAGGCCUAACACAUGCAAGUCGAGCGGUAGCACAGAGAGCUUGCUCUCGGGUGACGAGCGGCGGACGGGUGAGUAAUGUCUGGGAAACUGCCUGAUGGAGGGGGAUAACUACUGGAAACGGUAGCUAAUACCGCAUAAUGUCGCAAGACCAAAGUGGGGGACCUUCGGGCCUCAUGCCAUCAGAUGUGCCCAGAUGGGAUUAGCUAGUAGGUGGGGUAACGGCUCACCUAGGCGACGAUCCCUAGCUGGUCUGAGAGGAUGACCAGCCACACUGGAACUGAGACACGGUCCAGACUCCUACGGGAGGCAGCAGUGGGGAAUAUUGCACAAUGGGCGCAAGCCUGAUGCAGCCAUGCCGCGUGUGUGAAGAAGGCCUUCGGGUUGUAAAGCACUUUCAGCGGGGAGGAAGGCGUUAAGGUUAAUAACCUUGGCGAUUGACGUUACCCGCAGAAGAAGCACCGGCUAACUCCGUGCCAGCAGCCGCGGUAAUACGGAGGGUGCAAGCGUUAAUCGGAAUUACUGGGCGUAAAGCGCACGCAGGCGGUCUGUCAAGUCGGAUGUGAAAUCCCCGGGCUCAACCUGGGAACUGCAUUCGAAACUGGCAGGCUAGAGUCUUGUAGAGGGGGGUAGAAUUCCAGGUGUAGCGGUGAAAUGCGUAGAGAUCUGGAGGAAUACCGGUGGCGAAGGCGGCCCCCUGGACAAAGACUGACGCUCAGGUGCGAAAGCGUGGGGAGCAAACAGGAUUAGAUACCCUGGUAGUCCACGCCGUAAACGAUGUCGAUUUGGAGGUUGUGCCCUUGAGGCGUGGCUUCCGGAGCUAACGCGUUAAAUCGACCGCCUGGGGAGUACGGCCGCAAGGUUAAAACUCAAAUGAAUUGACGGGGGCCCGCACAAGCGGUGGAGCAUGUGGUUUAAUUCGAUGCAACGCGAAGAACCUUACCUGGUCUUGACAUCCACAGAACUUAGCAGAGAUGCUUUGGUGCCUUCGGGAACUGUGAGACAGGUGCUGCAUGGCUGUCGUCAGCUCGUGUUGUGAAAUGUUGGGUUAAGUCCCGCAACGAGCGCAACCCUUAUCCUUUGUUGCCAGCGGUUCGGCCGGGAACUCAAAGGAGACUGCCAGUGAUAAACUGGAGGAAGGUGGGGAUGACGUCAAGUCAUCAUGGCCCUUACGACCAGGGCUACACACGUGCUACAAUGGCAUAUACAAAGAGAAGCGACCUCGCGAGAGCAAGCGGACCUCAUAAAGUAUGUCGUAGUCCGGAUUGGAGUCUGCAACUCGACUCCAUGAAGUCGGAAUCGCUAGUAAUCGUAGAUCAGAAUGCUACGGUGAAUACGUUCCCGGGCCUUGUACACACCGCCCGUCACACCAUGGGAGUGGGUUGCAAAAGAAGUAGGUAGCUUAACCUUCGGGAGGGCGCUUACCACUUUGUGAUUCAUGACUGGGGUGAAGUCGUAACAAGGUAACCGUAGGGGAACCUGCGGUUGGAUCACCUCCUUA
rnacentral:rRNA from 1 species